UGUACAUACGGCCAUGAAAGAGAUCACUUGACACUUAUUGUUCUCUCUUUUCUUUCACAAACAGGUUGAGUUUGAAGAACAGGAAAAACAGUAGACUGUAGAGGUCUACCCGGUAUCUAUGGUUAAACAUGAUGAUCAUAAGUGCAUGUAUCAUUUUGCAGAUUCUCAUCCAGGAUGAUGCAGCUCUACAAUUUCCAUGGAGGUGAUUGAUGAUGAUAAACAAUUGGUAAAGUAGGCCUAAUAGAACAGUGAUAGGACCACAAAGAGAAAUACAACCUACAGCAGUUAUAUGAGACUGGUGUAACAGAUGUUUUCAUUCAAGAAAUCCAACAAAUUGAAGAGUGACUUAGCUUAGGAAGCACUUGAUAAAGAUGGAAAAGGUUUUUUUUUUUC